GGGGAUGUAGCUCAGUGGAAGGGCACUUGCCUGGCACGCACAAAGCCUUGGGUUCAAUCCCCAGUAUCACCA
rnacentral:tRNA from 1 species